AUGAUUUGUUAUGCAUUUUAUUGUCAUGUAGUCCUCUGUGACAUUGUGUGCAUCAGGGUAAUUGCAUCAAUGUGUUAUCCCCUACCUCAAGGGGAUUUUGUUUUGGGAAAAAGAUUUAGGCUGUGUCCUCAGUCUUUCUCAGCCUGGGGUCUAGCUUACCUGUGUCAACAUGGUGACGGCGCCAGGUGUACUGACGACCCUUGUGUUAACAGGAUUGUGUGUCCACGUCACAGUGAUUCGUGGCAGGACGUGGAGAGUUGUGUGCGGUUCUCCUCCCAGCUGUGUGACCUGUCCGAGGCCUUCUCUAACUUCGAGGUGUACAACAUGAUCCGCCUGGGCCUCCACCAGGGCCCGGGGAGUCCAGUCUGGACAGAAAAUCUGGUGUUUGGCGUCCGUGAUUUCAACUUCAGCAGCCCCUCCGUCUUGGUCUCUCUGUCUGGAGAGAGGCUGGGAGUGGAGGUGCACUUACCUUGUUCUAGCAAAAGGGAGUGUCUUCCUCUGCAGAGUUGCUGUCCACUGUCAAAAUUUAUUGACCUCUGGGUCACCGUGACAGUAUAUGACCGACAGAACCCCUCCGACUACAAGACGCAGAUUGGUUUGGUCCAGACGAUGGUGUAUGGGGCAGAGUUCUCAAACCUGGUCCCAGGACAUGACUACUGUGUUGUGGCUAACUUCUCCGUCAGUCCGGACACCUUCCCCCAGGCCUCGUCUCCUCCCUCGGACCCCAGUUGUGUCCACCAUGCUGGCCCAGGACUAGGGUUGCAGCCAGUGUUGGGGAUAGGAGUGUGUGCUGUACUCUUCUCUCCUCUCCUUGCUCUGGCUCUGUACCUGCUGAAACAAAAACGAGAUGCACCACACGUAAACAGACUCCCCAAGUCUCUAGCAUCUCUUCAGGCAUUCCUCCAGGACCUGCCGGAGUCCCCUUCAGACCCUGUUGACCCCAGUGACAUUGUAGACGACCACCUCUCCAUCCUGUCCUCUUUCUCCAGCUGUGUCUGCACCGAGGCCCAGGCCCCAAGCCUGGGUAAUGGGUACAACAGCAACCCCUUCCUCAGUGACUAUAGGUCAGGCAACAUGCACUGGAACACUGAGAGAAUGGAGCUGGACCUGAACUCAGGCAGCACCAUAUCCCUGCCAUGCUCCACUGUGCCUAUAGGCCUGCAUAUGAUCCAGUGCAGCUUUGAUUCACCUCGACAACCACAUCCAGGGCCCAAUGUGCCAGUUCUACCGUACCCUGGUUCUCCAUCUCUGUCAGAGGCCGUGGAGGGCCAGGUGGUCCCGUUGUGUUCUGUGAGGUUUGGGAGGGUGAGUGAGGGGGAUGGGGGUGAGAACCUUGAGGGACUACAGUGGUGUAACCUGUAG
rnacentral:lncRNA from 1 species